GCACCCGUAGCUCAGCUGGAUAGAGUACUGCCCUCCGAAGGCAGGGGUCACAGGUUCGAAUCCUGUCGGGUGCG
rfam:Erythrobacter sp. SG61-1L scaffold_1, whole genome shotgun sequence.